ACUCAGCUGACGAGUCCCAAAUAGGACGAAACGCGCUUUUUGAAU
rfam:Schistosoma curassoni strain Dakar, Senegal genome assembly, scaffold: SCTD_contig0001319